rnacentral:rRNA from 1 species
AACAAAAACAUGUUCUUUUGAAUAUAAUUUAAGAUUUAACCUGCCCAAUGAUUAAUUAAAUGGCCGCAGUAUUUUGACUGUGCAAAGGUAGCAUAAUCAUUAGUUUUUUAAUUGAAAGCUAGAAUGAAUGGUUGGACGAGAAAAAAUCUGUCUCUUUUUAUUAAAUUGAAUUUAAUUUUUUAGUUAAAAAGCUAAAAUUUUAUUAAAAGACGAGAAGACCCUAUAGAUCUUUAUAAUAAUAAAAAUAUUUUAUUUUUAGAUUAUAUAAUUUUUUAUUUUUUUUAUUAUUUUAUUGGGGUAAUAGAAAGAUUUGAUUAAUUCUUUUUUAUUUAAAUAUUUAAUAGUAAUAAUAAAAUCCAUUAAUAAUGAAUUGUGAUUAAGUUACCUUAGGGAUAACAGCGUAAUUUUUUUAGAGAGUUCUUAUCAAUAAAAAAGUUUGCGACCUCGAUGUUG